rnacentral:rRNA from 1 species
GCAGCCGCGGUAAUACGUAGGGGGCGAGCGUUAUCCGGAAUUAUUGGGCGUAAAGAGUACGUAGGUGGUUUCCUAAGCAGGGGGUCUAAGGCUAUGGCUUAACCAUAGUUCGCCCCCUGAACUGGGUAACUUGAGUGCAGGAGAGGAAAGCGGAAUUCCUAGUGUAGCGGUGAAAUGCGUAGAUAUUAGGAGGAACACCAGUGGCGAAGGCGGCUUUCUGGACUGUAACUGACACUGAGGUACGAAAGCGUGGGGAGCAAACAGGAUUAGAUACCCC